rnacentral:rRNA from 1 species
CCACCUAGAGGAGCUGUUNUGUAAUCGACAACCCCCGUUAAACCUCACCACUCCUUGCCCCAGACAGCCUAUAUACCGCCGUCGCCAGCCUACCCCGUGAGGGAGUCACAGUAAGCUAAAUGGUCAUUACCCCAAACGUCAGGUCAAGGUGUAGCUAAUGGAGUGGAAAGAAAUGGGCUACAUUUUCUGACCC